rnacentral:misc_RNA from 1 species
GCUUUCAAUUCAUUAGGGCAGGCUGUAGUACUGUUGAUCGGUACUGUUUAUGCAUACUGUUCACGCAACUGUUCAUGGGUAAUAUUCACGCACACUGUUUGAGAGUACUAUUCAUUGGCACUAUUCAUAACAUGCGGACUUCCAACUUUUACAACUGUUUCUAGUGUAUUGCGCUUCUGCCCAGCCAUUUUUCUUAAUCUGACCACAAGCGAAUAUGUCUGAAACAGUGGAUUA